AGUGAACGCUGGCGGUAGGCCUAACACAUGCAAGUCGAACGGCAGCACAGUAAGAGCUUGCUCUUACGGGUGGCGAGUGGCGGACGGGUGAGGAAUACAUCGGAAUCUACUUUUUCGUGGGGGAUAACGUAGGGAAACUUACGCUAAUACCGCAUACGACCUACGGGUGAAAGCAGGGGAUCUUCGGACCUUGCGCGAUUGAAUGAGCCGAUGUCGGAUUAGCUAGUUGGCGGGGUAAAGGCCCACCAAGGCGACGAUCCGUAGCUGGUCUGAGAGGAUGAUCGGCCACACUGGAACUGAGACACGGUCCAGACUCCUACGGGAGGCAGCAGUGGGGAAUAUUGGACAAUGGGCGCAAGCCUGAUCCAGCCAGACCGCGUGGGUGAAGAAGGCCUUCGGGUUGUAAAGCCCUUUUGUUGGGAAAGAAAAGCAGCAGGUUAAUACCACGCUGUUCUGACGGUACCCAAAGAAUAAGCACCGGCUAACUUCGUG
rnacentral:rRNA from 1 species